rnacentral:misc_RNA from 1 species
AACGAGGCCGACCUGCGGCUGAGUUACCUGCGGAGGGAUCAUUACCAGCAGCGGUCCGCGGCCUCGGCCCGGUCCUCUCACCCUGUGCGUACCUUUUGGAGCGUUGCUUUGGCGGGCCCCCGCGCCCGCCAGAGGUCGUUGACAACUCUGUUAUUUCGGACUGUCUGAGUGUCUCACAAAUGAAUUAAAACUUUCAACAACGGAUCU